GCUCGCGCCGCUAACUUCUCCCGAACUACAGUCCGUCUUCUUGAGGUGGGUACAGGAACAAACGACAGCUGACUCCUGUUAGCAGGCUGAGAGUUUUCCCUUCCCAGAGCUACUGGUUGCUGGCGAGGGUGUCAACGACCGUGGACAUUAACCUAGGCCCACCUGGAUGUUUUGAUGAUAUAGGAAGUGGAACACAACAACUA